UACGGAGGGUGCAAGCGUUAUCCGGAUUUACUGGGUUUAAAGGGUGUGUAGGCGGACUUUUAAGUCAGCGGUGAAAUCUCCGGGCUCAACCCGGAAACUGCCAUUGAUACUAUUGGUCUUGAAUGUUGUUGAGGUGGGCGGAACGGGUCAUGUAGCGGUGAAAUGCAUAGAUAUGACCCGGAACACCGAUUGCGAAGGCAGCCCACUAAGCAACGAUUGACGCUGAGGCACGAAAGCGUGGGGAGCGAACAGG
rnacentral:rRNA from 1 species